ensembl:lncRNA
GUGUGGUAAACCUCCACUCCAGCUCCGGGAAAUCCAGUCUUACCCAAUCCUCAGCUCCGGUCCUCCUGCCCAUCGAGGCCCAGCCCUGCCCAGGCAGCAUAUAUGAGCAGCAGCCUGCAUGGAGCUCAGUCUGCAGGGAAACCCACUGACCACAGCUGCACAGAAUCCCAUUCAUUUUACACAGGAUUUAACCAAACUCGUAAAAAACUGCAGAUCUGUUACAACAGACUGACAGCAACAAUCGGAAAUGGAGCUUCUGCAAACCGCCCUCGUCAUCACCCUCCUUACAAUAACGUCUGCUAAGCCGAUGCGUUAUCGUGACCAUCAUGACGCCGACAUCGCCGACAAAGACUGGACUCAAGGGCUCCAGGACCAGAACUACUGGUGGCUUUACCAGCUCAGGGGGUACAACCGCCACGACGACUCCAGCGAAUCCUCAGAAACCGAGUCGUCUGAGUCCUCUGAGGAGGUUAUCAUCGAACAGACCACAGAGGCCGAGACCACUGCUGCCGUGACGACCGCCGUUAUGGAGGAUGGAAGUACAGUCGCCCCUGAACCGGACACGACACCCACAAAUGGACCGACCGUGAUGGAGACGACUCAACAGCCGGGGACACCGACCAUACCUGUCGACAUCACAUCACCUUGUGCUGGUGGUCAAUGUGUCAUAUAUGAGAUCCCAACAGAAGAUCCCGUCACAGACAACAGAGGAGACAACUGAGCAGCUAACUAACCAUAUUCCUACUAAGGGGUUGUUGUUUUCCAACCCAGUCUCCACAAAAUCCCAUUUCUAUACAAUUAAACUGAAUUCUAGUCUACAUCUUGAAGGGAAUGUCACUUUGUUUUGAUAUGAAUGUAAUUUGUGACCUGGGAUAUGGUGGGAGGAGAUCAGGAAGGGAGGAUGGAGGCAUAAACUAGCAAUUGAACUUUCACCUAGAAGACCAGAGUUUGUGUCCAAUGAUGUACGAGAGACCAUCAGAAAUAAAAUUACUUUCCUGGUUGGGUUUGGGGACCAAAACUAGGUGGUUAUGAAAAGAUAACACUCUGUUGGACAGUUUUAUGAGUUAGAAUCUAGGUUAUGGUUGGACACCAAAAUGACUUGGUCACGGCUUGGAAAAAUGUCAGCAACAGUGAAGCAGUAAAGUAAAUCUCAAAGAUAUGUUGAUUAGAAAUGUAUGUAAUCAAUCAGAAAAUAGCUGAGACUGUUGUUUAGUUGUACAGAAAUGUAAUUUAAUGGAGACUGGGAUGUAUUUUUGGGGCAUUGCGUGUAUAUUUACGAGAGUUAAAGUUCAGCGGGUCAAUUGUGGGCUGGCUUUUUCCACAUUAAAAAAAACUAAUUCUUGAUUAUUUCUCUAAUGUGCAUCUUUUUUUGCUUUUUUUUUAUCAAUGCAAGAAACCAUUUGAUGAGCCUGUACAGAGCCUUGCUUUCUCAUUUUUACUGUUGUAUUAGUUCACAGUAGGUCUUUGUUAGCUUUAGUGUGAUCUAUCGGACUAGAGAACUUUUUUUUUAACUUGAUUAUUUUCAUACAGAGUCAAACUUCACACUAUGAAACAAAUCAGACAAAGAGAUGUAAGUCUUUAGGCAGAACAACCUCAGAGAUCCACUUGAAAAUAAUAUUGAUGCCACUUGAAAUGAAAUUCUAGGAAGACUAACCAACAGUAGGGAACUGCAGUAAUGAUGUACAGUGUAGACGGGGUUAAAAUAUCUGACCAGGUCCCAUAAUGUGAAAAUAGCCAUUGUUGCUUUAGAGAAUGGGGUUUAUUGAUGCCUGCUGGUACUUUGGGAGUUAGAUUAUGUAAUUUAUAUACACAACAUAACAUGCGUUACUAUGAAAAUGUUAAAUUACAUUAACUAAGCAUACAUUAGGAUAUAUUACUGAUAGUAUUCUGUUGUGUGUUUUUUUUUAACAUGGCAUGUUGACCUGUGGUGUUUCAGCUGUCAAACGAUGCUACAAACCACUUUUACAAAUAUAUGUUGGGAUAACAUUGACAAAUCUGUGUCUUAUUUGCGUGUUCAUUUGAGCAUACUUUAACUUUUUUUGUUCAUUGUUGGAAAUUCACCAAAUAUCUGCAAAAAUUCUGUCUACUUAAGGAUUAUCUUCAGUUCAAUGCCUCAUUUAAACAUUUAUCUCACCAUUAAAUGUGUAAACCAGCAAUGGUUGCUGUAUCUAUAUGUUGUACUGUAAUUGUUCAAAAGCAAACUCCUUGUGUGUCAGGAAUCCACAGUAUGUAACCCACAGCAGAGUGUUUACACGCUGUGGACUGUGGGUGCGUCCUGUUUGUCUUCGAACAUCUCGUCUGUUGUCUGUACAUGCUGACGAAGACUGAGGUCUUGCCGCAGUGGGGCUGGUUUAAUUACGGGUUAUGAAUUUAUCUUUCGCUUAAUUAAACACGGCGCAGACAGCCAAAAAAAAAACAAUACCUUCAUGUUGUUGGUAUAAACUGUGUUGUACUUCAGUCUGUUAAAUGGAUCUGCCCCGCAUGAUUAGAUGUGAUGUAUAUAAUGAAAAAUAAACCAUUUAAAAUACACUAAAA